AACGAACGCUGGCGGCAUGCCUAACACAUGCAAGUCGAACGAAGUCUUCGGACUUAGUGGCGCACGGGUGCGUAACGCGUGGGAAUCUGCCCUUGGGUGCGGAAUAACUUCUCGAAAGGGAUGCUAAUACCGCAUAAUGUCGUAAGACCAAAGAUUUAUCGCCCAAGGAUGAGCCCGCGUAAGAUUAGCUAGUUGGUGGGGUAAAAGCCUACCAAGGCGACGAUCUUUAGCUGGUCUGAGAGGAUGAUCAGCCACACUGGGACUGAGACACGGCCCAGACUCCUACGGGAGGCAGCAGUGGGGAAUAUUGGACAAUGGGCGAAAGCCUGAUCCAGCGACGCCGCGUGGGGUGAUGAAGGCCUUGGUCGUAAGACCUCGUCGCAGGGAGAAUAAGACAUCGGUAUAAUACG
rnacentral:rRNA from 1 species